CCUACGGGAGGCUGCAGUGAGGAAUAUUGGUCAAUGGGCGAGAGCCUGAACCAGCCAAGUCGCGUGAAGGAUUACUGCCCUACGGGUUGUAAACUUCUUUUAUCAAGGAAUAAAGUGCGGAACGUGUGCCUUUUUGUAUGUACUUUAUGAAUAAGGAUCGGCUAACUCGGUGCCAGCAGCCGCGGUAAUCCGGAGGAUGCGAGCGUUAUCCGGAUUUAUUGGGUUUAAAGGGUGCGUAGGCGGGCUUUUAAGUCAGCGGUAAAAAUGCGGGGCUCAACCCCGUCCGGCCGUUGAUACUGGGGGCCUAGAGUGGGCGAGAGGAAGGCGGAAUGCGUGGUGUAGCGGUGAAAUGCAUAGAUAUCACGCAGAACCCCGAUUGCGAAGGCAGCCUUCCGGCGCCCAACUGACGCUGAGGCACGAAAGUGUGGGGAUCGAACAGGAUUAGAUACCCCUGUAGUC
rnacentral:rRNA from 1 species